ACUCACUUCCAGCUGGCUAAUUGCCUGUGGAUGUUACUGUUGUGCAGGGGAAAAAAAGUUGAAAAGACUAUUCUAAAUCUAAAUGAUGAAGAUUCCCUUCCUAUGGUUGUGCAACAUGAGGUUGUGGGCAGACAUAAUGGAUAAGGCCUACUCACCGCUUUCUACGACAUAGAGGCUGUCAGAGGAAAAACCAAGGCACUCGCCCACAGUUCUUGAGAAACAGACCGAGAGUUCUUUUUUAGUUCACAUUCGUUUCUCUGAUAUAAGAUUAGGAUCAAUAAGGCUCUUCAUCAUGACUAAGAGAAUUUAUGAUGUGUAUACAGUAUAUUCAUGACAGAAUUGAGAUGCCCGGUAUGGUGAUGGUUGCACUCUUGGGUCUAGUAUACUGGUUCUAAAGUUGACAUCCCAAACUUUUCAAACUCUAUGGAGUAUAAUUGCAGUUCCUUCAAAUCACUAAUUCAGCUUUUGAUGCCUAAUCCUCCAUGGCAAAAGCACUUUGCAUAUUACAACAAUUACUAUGGGAAACUCAUCUUUUAUCAUCAUGUCUAGUUAAAAUAGCUUGCUUAACAUGUUGAUAUUUUUUUUAAUAAUAGUAUAAUUUCUUUUUA